UGGGGAAUUUUGGACAAUGGGCGCAAGCCUGAUCCAGCCAUGCCGCGUGUCUGAAGAAGGCCUUCGGGUUGUAAAGGACUUCNUGUCAGGGAAGAAAAGGCUGUUGCUAAUACCGACAGCUGAUGACGGUACCUGAAGAAUAAGCACCGGCUAACUACGUGCCAGCAGCCGCGUGNAAUACGUAGGGUGCGAGCGUUAAUCGGAAUUACUGGGCGUAAAGCGAGCGCAGACGGUUACUUAAGCAGGAUGUGAAAUCCCCGGGCUCAACCUGGGAACUGCGUUCUGAACUGGGUGACUAGAGUGUGUCAGAGGGAGGUAGAAUUCCACGUGUAGCAGUGAAAUGCGUAGAGAUGUGGAGGAAUACCGAUGGCGAAGGCAGCCUCCUGGGAUAACACUGACGUUCAUGCUCGAAAGCGUGGGUAGCAAACAGGAUUAGAUACCCUGGUAGUCCACGCCCUAAACGAUGUCAAUUAGCUGUUGGGCAACUUGAUUGCUUAGUAGCGUAGCUAACGCGUGAAAUUGACCGCCUGGGGAGUACGGUCGCAAGAUUA
rnacentral:rRNA from 1 species